UACGAAGGGGGCUAGCGUUGUUCGGAUUUACUGGGCGUAAAGGGCGCGUAGGCGGUGCAAUAAGUCAGGCGUGAAAGCCCCGGGCUCAACCCGGGAAUUGCGCUUGAUACUGUUGCGCUUGAAUCCAGGAGAGGAUGGCGGAAUUCCCAGUGUAGAGGUGAAAUUCGUAGAUAUUGGGAAGAACACCAGUGGCGAAGGCGGCCAUCUGGCCUGGAAUUGACGCUGAGGCGCGAAAGCGUGGGGAGCAAAC
rnacentral:rRNA from 1 species